AUUGAACGCUGGCGGCAGGCUUAACACAUGCAAGUCGAGCGGGGUGAUGGUGCUUGCACUAUCACUUAGCGGCGGACGGGUGAGUAAUGCUUAGGAAUCUGCCUAUUAGUGGGGGACAACAUCUCGAAAGGGAUGCUAAUACCGCAUACGUCCUACGGGAGAAAGCAGGGGAUCUCUUGUGACCUUGCGCUAAUAGAUGAGCCUAAGUCGGAUUAGCUAGUUGGUGGGGUAAAGGCCUACCAAGGCGACGAUCUGUAGCGGGUCUGAGAGGAUGAUCCGCCACACUGGGACUGAGACACGGCCCAGACUCCUACGAGAGGCAGCAGUGGGGAAUAUUGGACAAUGGGGGGAACCCUGAUCCAGCCAUGCCGCGUGUGUGAAGAAGGCCUUAUGGUUGUAAAGCACUUUAAGCGAGGAGGAGGCUCUUUUGGUUAAUACCCAAGAUGAGUGGACGUUACUCGCAGAAUAAGCACCGGCUAACUCUGUGCCAGCCGCCGCAGUAA
rnacentral:rRNA from 1 species